UCUCUCUUCCUAAUAAAGCUCUAAAAGGUACCACUGGGUUCUGUCUUCUGUCUUCUGUCGUGACUGUAACCAGCACCACCGCGGUAACCAGCACCAGCCACCAGCGCCAGUACACCCUUUCAUUGGUGCUCUUUGGACUCAGGGGACCACCAAGGGCUUGCGACCCUGCUUGCCGCUCGUACCGCCCUCCCCGCCUCCCUCCAGCCAGCGAGAUCACGAGGGGCGCGUGUCCCGUGUGCCCCCCCCCCCCCGCCGCCCUCCAGCCUCUGUUGGGCUGUGGCUUCCAGCCACUGGACCACACACCACUCCUGCUGCUGCAUCCUCCACCCCACCCCACCGUGCAAUUGAGAUCAGGCCUCAAUUUCAGUUUCCUGAGAUUGGGCAGGCAGUUUCUGAGGAGGAGCCAUGAACAAAGAACAAUUAAUCUCCAACACCCCCAACAGCAAGAACAAGGAGACCUGCAAUCCAGCAAGAGAAGGAGUUUGUGAAAAGAUCAUGAAAUGAGGAUCUCUUUGGAAGAAUAAACUCCAACAUUGCCUAACAGUGUUGGUUUGGGGCUUGCUUUUUGGAAACCUAUCUGUUUCUAGAGAUUUAUGACAAUUGCUGAUGGCUUCUCACCUAUACCUGACAGUUAAGUGUUAAUCAGUACCCAGUUACACGGUAAUCAGGACUAGGCAUUCCCUUUGUUUUUAAACUUCCUCAUUGAUGAAUAAAUUGCAGAUGGCAAAUGCUGACAGUAAUCUCACCACUAAUACCCAUGGUGCUUUGUAGUCCUUGUGCCCUGUAUAGUGAAAGCCAGUUUUAACCUAGGAUGGAUGACUCCAUUGCUUUUUCAUCAUUCUGAAGUUGUAGACUUUUGCAGCUUCUCACACUUGAUUUUCAUUUCCAA